rnacentral:lncRNA from 10 species
AACCUAACCUCUGAAGUCAUGCCAUGUCACUUCUGCUGAGUUCCAUUAAUUAAAAAUGAGUCACUGAGGGCCAGGCACAGUGGCUCAUGCCUGUAAUCUCAGUAUUUUGGGAGGCCGAGGUGGGCAGAUCACUUAAAGUCAGAAAAGUAAGUAUAUUAUCAAAUGCAGAAUAAGGUAAAACUUUGAGUGUCAUGUAAAUAACAUAUCUCUAAUAGAAAAGAUAAAACGCAGGUAAAAGUAGUAACAGUAUAGUUUUGUACGUGAUUGAAUUUAUCAGCUUAAAUAACCUGUCAUAACUAUAAUAAGUUUUAUGUAGACUUUAAGGUAAGCAGAAAGCAAAAAUGUAUAGGAGAUCUAAAAAAAAUACAAAGAGGAAGGAAUCAAAGCAUACAACUACAGAAAAUAGAUAUGAGAUGUUGAAGUCCUUAAACAGGUUGGUGGAUUUGUCUAUUUGUCUAUUUGUCCUUUCAACUCUUAGUUUUUGUUUAGUGUAUUUUGAGGCUCUGUUGUGUGCUUGUAUGUAUGCACACAUUUUUAAUAAUUUAUUUCUAUUUUUUUACUGUUACAUAAUCUCUCUUUUUUUCUAUAGGGAUAUUCUUUGUUUUGAAUUUACUUUAUUCUGACAUUAAUAUGUCACUUUUUCAUUUUUAAUUAUUGUUUAUAUAAUCAGUUCUU